rnacentral:SRP_RNA from 1 species
GCCAGGCAUGGUGGCGCGUGCCUGUAAUCCUAGCUACUCGGAGACUGAGGCAGGAGAAUUGCUUGAACCCAGGAGGUGGAGGUUGCAGUGAGUGGAGAUUGCACCACUGCACUCCAGCCUGGGCAACAGAGUGAAACUCUGUCUCAA